UACGUAGGGGGCUAGCGUUGUCCGGAAUCAUUGGGCGUAAAGAGCGCGUAGGCGGCUCGGAAAGUCGGUCGUGAAAUCCUGGGGCUCAACCCCGGAACUGCGUCCGAUACUUCCGAGCUGGAGGCAGGUAGGGGAGAUCGGAAUUCCUGGUGUAGCGGUGAAAUGCGCAGAUAUCAGGAGGAACACCGGUGGCGAAGGCGGAUCUCUGGGCCUUGCCUGACGCUGAGGCGCGAAAGCUAGGGGAGCGAACAGG
rnacentral:rRNA from 1 species